CUUCGUUUCGUACCGGUUUAGAAAACGGAGGUCGAAUUUUUUUCCUUAAGACACUCUCACCGUCAAAUCGCUUAAGGCUGCUUGUUUCACCGGGGAACAAGAAGACGAGCACUCUCUUGACCUCCGCCUCGAGGAGCAGGACAGAUCCGCCGGACAGGUUUAGCCACGAGACUGGUGCGGGGAUGGGCGAGAACAGGAGGAAGUCGACGCUAGACGAGCGUGGCGAGACCUGCCGCGGACGCUGGACAAACUACCUCCGUCAUGGUGACCUUCUUCAAGUCUUGACACACCACUUCGACUCCUCGUUAGGAGUUGCCGCGUUCUUAGUUCAUAUACAACCGACACCCCGACCUAAACCCCCACUGGCCGGCUACCGACGAAACUUCAAUAACCUCUCUCAGCUUCUUGAAUUGAUGUAUCAUGAACUCACAAACCGCCUCGCUUGUGAACGUCUGGCGAUGGUUCAAUACGACAGUCCUCCCUUUCCUAAACUAGGGGCUCAAUUCCUCACCGACAGGUACGAAGAUGGGAACCGAAACCUAUCUCUUCAAACGUAUUAUUGAUUGUACCCGCGUUAACUAGGUGGACCUCGUGUCUUUCUUUAUGACCUGGAACGAAGAUCAAACCCUGACCUCUAUUGUCAGCGACAUCGAAUACUUAGUAGCUAAAGUCCAGGUCUUUUGAGUCACAAUACCUUACUUAGUUACCCUCACCGUCUCCCUUCUUCGUGUAUAGAACCACGUCGGGGGUAACAUGUAACGGACCUUUUAAUGUUUGGUGUACAGCAGUAAUGAAGAGCCCAACGACUACGACGUGAUAAGAAUCGUGGAUACCAGAUGCUUAACCCAACCUUAACCUUACUGAAACUCUUCAACCGUGUUCCUUGUAAUCGAUCGGUAGAAGACCUUACACCAACAGUUGAGUGGCCUCCUAUAAAGUACGUGGGACCUCUACGUAUAGCUCUAAAAAGAAAACUCGUCGAAGCCCUAAACAGAGAAGGUAUACGACUUCACUCAAUGUUUCCUCUUCAAACACAACCGUUCCGUUUCCCAUCGCCUCCAGAAGACUCGAUAUCGUGAACACGUCUUGUCGAAGACAUACUUCAACCUCUGGGACGUUUGAUGUAGUGAGGACUAGACCAACAUCUAAAGUCACUACACGUCAAGGUAGUUUAUAGUGUUCUGUUCCAAGUGACAUUUCCUCGUUUUGGUAGACUAGAAGCAGCCGGGCUCUUUGAGGAGGUUAACAAAGGAUGAGGUUUACCUACCUUUCCGACCCCUCUCUAUAGUAUGCCCCCUGUUCUCACAAAUUCCGCGCGAGUCCGUCGUCUUAUGGAUCAUUCAAGUACUUUCAUAAACGUACGUUAUAAACAAAGUCUAAAGGCCACACAAUUGUUAACUUACAUGGAUAAAUGUGCACUGUUGUAUUUCCGUCAAACACGUAAAUUUGGAAAAGACGACCGUAAUCCAAUCCAGUACCUACUUGCUUUCUAUAGGGCCGUAGCUUCUCUUUUAAUAGCGUAUACAAUACCCUAUACUAUCGAACUUUCGAUUACCUCCAUUGUUACUGUUAGUGAGAAGGUUCCUUCACUAUCUACAAUCUGAAGCCUACCUACCCGAUAAACUCGUCCUCCUCGUACGACUACCUAAGCAACUCCUCAAGUAACGUGAAAUAUGUUUACCAGGUCGACCCCCACCACCGUAGUCGUGACCUGCUUUCUUGCUCGAUUAAGACGUGUUCAACGACUAACUAUCCCUUUUACAGAAGACCGUUCGGUUACGCUUCUUGAGUAGGUAAGUACCAGGUGUCUUGGCCAGAUGUCUACGGUUCUUCUUCUUCUCCAUGUGUCCUUCAAGGCGCUGCCCGUAAGUUGUUGCAACCUUAUGUUUCGACCUGCUUGGUCGUGGAGGACAUAGACGAGGUCGAGGUAGGCCUAGCCUCUAGCGGGACAUGGCACACCGGGUGUCGUCUCGGCCACUGUUCCCCUUGCUAGACUUAGAAAGGUAGUAGGGAGUAAAGGACCUGCUGUAACCGGCCGAGUCCUGUCACUAGUGAGGACUCACCCACUUCCGGAGAGAAAGCGGGGACGAACUAGUAAGCAGCAAAGGUCUGCUGCCUCGCUAGCUCGCAGCUUUGUUAGAUGAACUCGCACAGAACCAACUCUAAAUACUACAGGGCCCGUAGUCGAGUAACUUGUAACACCACUCCUUAUAGGAGCUACCGCCGCACUUGACGAGGUCUUCCCACCUGGCCGUGCCGUUCUGGGACAGUCUAUAGUAGGACACGGCCUUUCAGUAGAACGGAGGCAUCACUGACUGUCAACUCUCUAGUGGCCGCGGGUUACACCUCACUCCCCACAGAUCUUAGUAGAUGACAACAACGCUUUUUAUCUUUCCAACUGCACUGUUAUUCUGGCCACUUCUCUUGUUAUUACGGACAACAUACUUUGUUUGGUUUGGCAAUACAUACGAGAAUAAUUAGUAAACCGUAGUAACCGGUCAAUGAAUAAACCACAAUAGACCACACACACGAAGACUCCGAGUACACAGGACACAGUUAGAGCCCGCAGGCGCCAGCGUGCCCUUUUGCUUACUGAUCCUUCCAAGUCGUUGCCGGAGCGUGCGUGGUCGCCAGGAGCGCGCGCACGCAAGCCUAUACGACGACUGUCGCUGUCGCCGAACAACGAGCAGCGUAGGAGCAGAGGCGGGGCACUCUUCAUCUUGGUUGCCGCCUCCGCCUCCGCCUCGAGGUGGGGCAGCACGACCGCGCCGCUUUAAGUCUCGAGAGCGGCGCGGGGACGACGCCGCGGGCAGGAGGAAACGAAAGUCGGCGCGAACGAGAAGAAGUGGAGGAGGAUGAGGACCGCUGUUCCUGACGCUGGCGCUCGACAAGCUACUUAUGAGUGAAGAAAGAAGUCUAUGAGGUACCCUCGGACUCCUACAUACCUCCUGUAAACGCCGUAUGGAAGAACAGAACGUGUAAGGGAACUCGAAACCUCCUGAGCCACACCAUCGGUUUCACGAUGUAAGAAGGAGUGAUCUGGUUGACUGUUGUCAACAAAGGUGUCGGUACGAAGUUGAUCCCCUCGAGCGAAACCCAAAUCGUGACAACGUCAUGUGACGUUUCGGGCUAGCAGUUCAACCACGGAAGAAACGACCCUUCAAGAGCAGGUCUGGCGCACCAACCUAUUUUCUUUGACACAAUACCAACCCUGAAAACUACAGAUACCAAAAAGAGUGUAGAGAUUAUCGACUGUCUGACUAUCCAGGGCUCCUACGUAUACUAGGAUAUAAUUUCCUUUAGGAAAGGUUGCCACCUUGGAGAUCCGAUCAGACAACCAAAGACAUGACACACUAACGAGGUAACAGUCUUCUUUAGUAAAUGGCACCCAAAGAAGAUUGUCGGGAUAGAAGGAGCUACUUUACCUCCUUGCGCCAGCAGCAUUCAAGUCAAUACAAGUCACAUCGUGUGGAGAGUCCCCUUUCAAAGAAAGUCAACAAGCAGCAGCCUACGUAGUGCCCCAAUCGAAUAAUGGCCUGACCUUGAAACCGACGAAGUAAAUGGUAGGUGUCAAACAUGUUACGCCGCUAUAACAAGUGAUGUUACUACAGAACUUACACAAAAUCCCCUAUCAGUCCUUACACCUAUGUCAAGUAAUUAUGAAACCGCUGUGAAAAUGGCAUUAGAAUUUUCAAACUUAACUAAUGGUAG
rnacentral:rRNA from 1 species